rnacentral:rRNA from 1 species
GACGAACGCUGGCGGCGUGCUUAACACAUGCAAGUCGAACGGAAAGGCCCAGCUUGCUGGGUGCUCGAGUGGCGAACGGGUGAGUAACACGUGGGUGAUCUGCCCCUAACUUCGGGAUAAGCUUGGGAAACUGGGUCUAAUACCGGAUAGGACAAUCGUUUAGUGUCGGUUGUGGAAAGUUUUUUCGGUUAGGGAUGAGCCCGCGGCCUAUCAGCUUGUUGGUGGGGUAAUGGCCUACCAAGGCGUCGACGGGUAGCCGGCCUGAGAGGGUGGACGGCCACAUUGGGACUGAGAUACGGCCCAGACUCCUACGGGAGGCAGCAGUGGGGAAUAUUGCACAAUGGGCGCAAGCCUGAUGCAGCGACGCCGCGUGGGGGAUGACGGCCUUCGGGUUAUAAACCUCUUUCGACAGGGACGAAGCUUUGGUGACGGUACCUGUAUAAGAAGCACCGGCUAACUACGUG